rnacentral:rRNA from 1 species
AUAUCAGUCAUGCAUAGCAUAUCAAUAAGCGGAGGAAAAGAAACUAACAAGGAUUCCCUUAGUAACGGCGAGUGAAGCGGGAAGAGCUCAAAUUUGAAAUCUUCAAGGUUUUACCUUGACGAAUUGUAGUUUAAAGAAGUGGUUUCUGUUGAAGUUUUGGUAAAAGUUCUUUGGAAUAGGACAUCAUAGAGGGUGAGAAUCCCGUAUUUGACCAUUACUUUCAGCUUUGUGAUACACUUUCAAAGAGUCGGAUUGUUUGGGAAUGCAGUCCAAAAUGGGUGGUAAAUUUCAAUCUAAAGCUAAAUAUUGGCGAGAGACCGAUAGCGAACAAGUACCGUGAGGGAAAGGAUGAAAAGAACUUUGAAAAGAGAGUUAAACAUGUACGUGAAAUUGUCAAAAGGGAAGCGUUUGACACCAGUGUUGUUUUCUCGAAAAUCAAUUAAAAAGAGUUGGAUUUUGUGUUGUAUUGACUUUAUCAGCUUUCUUCACUCUUUUCCAGCUUUUUUUAAUGCACUUUUCGUUUAACAAGUCAACAUCAGUUUCUUUUGUUGUAAAAAGGUCAUUGGAAGGUGGCUUUCUCUUCGGAGAAAGUGUUUAUAGCCUUUGACUCAUGCAAUCGGAGAGACUGAGGUCUGCAGCGUAGAUCCUUCGGGGUUAGAUACAUUUGUGCUAAGUUAUAGCUUUCCAUAGACAACUUGUUGACUAUGUUUAGUCUUGUAGCUUACUCGCUUAUGCUAUUUUACCUACGCUUAGGAUGUUGAACUCUAUCACACACAG